rnacentral:tRNA from 1 species
GGAGAGGUGCCAGAGAGGCUGAAUGGGCCGCUCUCGAAAAGCGGUAUCCCGAUUCCUCGGGAUCGUGGGUUCAAAUCCCACCCUCUCCG